ACUCCAGCGACUUCUGGCGCUUGCAGGACCUGAUGAGGAUGAAAUUGAAUCAUCAUCCGCUAAGACCUUUGUUUCUAUAAACCCCGGGAUUGAAUGGAUAGUCAAUUCCGGGGCAUCGAGGAAUAUGACGGGAAGGACUCCACCUCGAGGGAGACGAUUGGAGUGGCUGAGCUCCAAGGAGGGGUCUGGUACUUGCGGGCCGUGGCAAACUCGGUUAUAUCCUCGAUGGCGUGCUGCCAUGAUUGAAGAAAUCCAUGCCUUAGAGGAGAAUGGCACCUGGUGUCUCUCUUUUCCUCCUGGUAAGCGACCCAUUGAUUGUAAGUGGAUCUUCAAAGUUAAAUGCCGGGCUGAUGGUAGUAUUGAGCAAUAUAAGGCUCGCCUUGUCGCAAAAGGCUUCACCCAGAUUGAAGGCAUCGACUUCAGUAAGACUUUUGCACUUGUUGCAAGAUUAGCUACGGUCCGGUGCUCAGGGUUGGGAAUUGCAUCAGCUUGAUGUAAACAACGCCUUCUUGCAUGAGGAUAUCGAGGAGGAAGAAUAUAUGUCUCUACCUCUGGGUUUUCGGUUGACUAGUGAUCAACCUGUUUGUCAACUACACAAGUCUUUAUAUGGCUUAUAAUAGGCCUCUAACAACUAGUAUUCCAAGUUCGCGACUGCUCUUAUCAGAUAUGAUUUCAGAUAGUCGGAGGUCGAUCAUUCCCUUUUGAUCUCUUCCAAAGGCACGACUUUUCUUGCAAUUUUGGUGUAUGUUGAUGACAUGAUUCUUGCUGGCAAUGUUCCGAGGAGUGCGCUUCUUUCAAGGAAUAACUCUAUAGGUGUUUUCGCUUUAGGGACCUCGGACCUCUAUCUUAAUUUCUUAGCAUUGAAGUUUUGCGCUGUGACUCUGGUCUCUUCCUCAGUCACAGGAAGUAUACUCUUGAUACUCUUACAGAGAUUGGCAUGUCGGGGUGUCAACCGACAUAUAUUCCCAUGGAGCAGCAACGCAAACUAUCUCAGGAUGCUAGUGCUUCCCUUUCUGAUCCAGGGCCAUUGGGAUGCUGCUCAACGGGUCAUGCGCUACUUGAAGUAAUCUACGGGACAGGGCAUUCUCUUGCGACUUUCUUCUCUCACCUUAGUAGCCUACUGUAAUGCAGACCGGGCUGCAUGUCCUAUGACUCAGCGCUCACUUCAGGUCACUUCGUCACUCUUGGUAGCAGUCCCAUUUCAUGCAAGACAAAGAAACGGAUCGCUAUAGCUCGAUCUUCCGCUGAAGCUGAAUAUCGGGCCAUGGCAAUUGUUGUCAAUGAACUACUGUGGUUCGUAAUCUUCUAGCUUCACUGGGUGUUUCUCAAUCAGAUCCUAUGGUUUUAUUCUACGAUAACCAGGUUGCCUUACACAUAGCUUCCAAUCCGUUGUUCCAUGAGCGAACCAAAAACAUAGAGAUCAAUUGCCACUUCAUCCAUCAACACAUUCGCUCAAGAGCUAUUGAAGCAGGUCAUGUCUCCACGCGGUUGCAAUUAGCGGAUAUUUUCACAGAAGCACUUGGGCAUGAUCGUUUUCAUUUUCUCUUGAAUAAGUUGGGAAUUCGGAAUCCUCAUAGAGAAGAGUAUUAUGGGAAGAUUUUCUUCUUUUAUGAUAUUAACAUGUACCUUAUUUAAUUCUUCCAUUAUUAGACAGUAUGUAUAUAUUUAGGAAAGGCUAUAUUUCCUUUUUCUCUCUAGGACACCUUCCUUGUCUUGGAACAAGCAGAGCAUUGUGUAUAUACUGUUUUGACGUCUAAUGAAGAUUAAGCUCGAUUGCUCAAAUUCUCAUCUUGUCAAUCAUCGUAUCCGAGGCUGCAGGACAAUUACGAUUCCAACCAAAUGGCAAGAGUGUGCCUCUGCCUGCAUUCGACAUUCAGCGUGGCUUUGCCCCCGAAUGAGCCAGAUUGUUCGUGCGCUGAAGGAAAACAGACACCUAACUGAUCUUGAAGAAGGAAGCACACCGGAGCACAGCAGACUGUAUAGUUCACUGGACAUAAAGAGACUCACUAUGGCACUGACGAGUCCGGAGUACGGACUGAGUCAGCGAGUGAUAGCACGAGAGACUACGGCCUCUAUCCUUCCUGUCCGAGCAGCGAAUUUCUUUUAUAAUAGCAUAUAUUCGGAUACUCAUAUUUGUCUUGAUUUAGAAAAAUAUUAACUGUUUAAUCCACCAAAUUAGAUAACUCUGAACCAAAAUAAAAGAAAUACGCUUUGCAAAAUAAUUCCUUUUCUCCUUUUCCUAUAUCUCCUGAAUUUUCUUAUAAAAUCAUCGCAAUUCAUAGUGAACUUGAGCAGACAAUUUUUUCCUUAUUUAAUGAAUAGAUCAAUCAAUGAACAUGUCUGCAUGGUAUUCUGGAGCAUGAGGCCUGAUGCAACUCCUGACCCCUCCAGUCUGCAUGGUAGUUGCCUUGUGAUUCGAGGGAAUAAGUGGGUGAUGAUGAAGCGCAUGCAUGCUGGGAACACCAAGAUAUAACUCAACCCGAGACCCGACCUUCUUUUCUUAGGCGAAAUGAUGUUGAUCUCGCUAAUAUGGUCAUAUCCAUCAUUCAGAUAAUUUCUUAGGUGAUCUAACAGUACUGAUAGGUAGUAGUAGUGGUGUUUUAAUGUUCAUAUUUCGACUCUGUAUUAGUAUAUAUAUGUGUGUAUCUUGUACACGAGGCAGUUGUGGCUCGGAUAAAUUAACCCGUCAAUAUAGUAAUUUUACUCGCGCA